GGGUAGGGAGGCUGCGGGGUGUGGACUAGAGCGCGGCGCUCCACACCCCCGAGUCCCUGUCUGCCGGGGCAGGGCGGCGGGACGGGGAACGGGGCUGGCUGAGGGCACGGCCCUGCCCCCCUGCCGCUCCUCCGCUGCUGGGCAUAGGUAGGAUUUACAUGGUUGCUCCCCGCCGCUUCCCGGUUAAUGGGCAGCUAAUUUUUCGAUCUACGUGAUAUUGAAGAUACUUAAAGCAAACUGCUUAAGAUUCUGGGCUGACAGGCUCAUUAAGCUGAAUAGUAGGAUUGCUGUCAUAUGCACUUCAGGCACUUACAAAAAGAAUCAUAUGUAAUCUUUGAAGGAGUCAGGACGAAUUGAACCUGCUUCAGUGUCACCCCCUAAAGAAAAAAGCCACAAAAUGUAAGUCACCAAAUAUAACUAUGGAAAAAAUGUUGCUCUUUUGUAUUUACAAAAUUACACAAAUUAUAUAGGGUAUAAAAUAGCAAAUAUUUCAUCAGAAUCAGAUCUCUACACUAAAAUCUAGUGUUAGGUUACAACUGCAGCUGAUAAAACCAUUCUGUUUUCACUGUUGUUUCCUUGGGAAGUAUAAUUCUAACGUCUGUUCAAAGAGUCUAUUUGUAGAUCACUACACUCACCUCUUUUUUUAUAUAUGAUUAUAUAGAAGUUCAAAUUGUAAUAUAAUCACAAUCCACAUUAAAUCCCACUGCCUUAAGAACAUGAUAUUCCUACAACAACUGAGCUGGUUUGUUUCUCUUUGUCCGUUUCUUUCUCUGCUGAGAUCCAGAUGAAGAGUAGAGUUCAGCUGAAUCACUGUACUGCUUUAGAGAUUGGCCCUAUGUUAGUUGAGACUACUAAGGAAGGGACUUCAAGAUAAAA